rnacentral:rRNA from 1 species
UACGUAGGGUGCGAGCGUUAAUCGGAAUUACUGGGCGUAAAGCGUGCGCAGGCGGUUCGUUAUGUCCGAUGUGAAAGCCCCGAGCUUAACUUGGGAAUGGCAUUGGAAACUGGCGGGCUGGAGUGCGGCAGAGGGGGGUGGAAUUCCACGUGUAGCAGUGAAAUGCGUAGAUAUCGGGAGGAACACCUGUGGCGAAAGCGGCUCACUGGACCACAACUGACGCUGAGGCGCGAAAGCUAGGGGAGCAAACAGG